AAUAUAUGAUGUAUAUGGUAAAAUAAAGUAUUUUAGCCUAAUAUUCUAGCUUUCGACUAAGAUUCAGUCAUCAUCUGGUAUCGAUGUAUAAAUGUAACCUAGCAGUUUCUGAUGAUGACUGAACUUAGUCCGGCUAGAAUAUUAAAAUAUUUUCGGAGUUAAUAACGUUAUUUUAUAUGUAUAUCAGUGGUCGGCUUGUUCAUUGUUUCUGACGAUGACUCUGAAAUAGAUUAUAGUAUAGAGUAUACUCUAUACUCUAUACUAUAGUCAGAGUGCAGUGCAUUUCUUGGCGUUUAUGAAAAGUAUAAGCUUUUUAAUUAUGCUAGUUAUAUCACUGUUCAUACAUUCAUUUAUAAACAUUGUGAAAUUAUAAUUAUAUAGGUAGGAAAGUUGCUAUAGAAAUGAAGUAUGUGUUGAAAUGAUGUCUGUACAAAACAUCUAAGCUCAGUCUUGAUAUUGGGUGUCUAAAGGCAAAACAAAGAAGAAGAAGCAAGUGCCAAAGUCAAAGGACAAAGAGUUUUUGGAAAACGAAAAUGACAUAUAAACUGUUUUAGGUCAAUCCAAAUUUAUGCGAACACGCAACAUUUAUACCUCAUUCUAGUAUAACAGCGCCAUAAUUAUUAUAAUAUUUAUUGUUAUGCCUAGUUUAAACGUCAAUUUUUACGUGUGCCAACCUAAUGUAGUAAUGAGUAAUGACAGUAAUGCUGAGUGUUGUCACCGCGGUAAUGUCUAAUGGAGUAAUCACUGAUUAUCACUGACUAUCACGAAAAAAUACAGUCACCCGCAUUACAAUAUUACAGGUUCGAACACGAUAAGCGCGACGUUUGAAGAUAGGCUAAAUUAAUGAAUAAUGCGAAUAAUGUUAGUACAAAUUGUGUAUUAUUAAAACACUGAUAUUUUUUAUUGAUAAUGAUUAUGAUAACGUAUAACCACCCUCUUCAUAAAAUACUGUAAGUUGUAUAAGUGUGACGUUUGCAGAGUGAAGAGUAUGUACUAUAAAGUUCUUUGUAGGUUGGCAUGCAUUGCGAUAAAACACACAAGACUUUUUGUUUGUGGAAACACCGCGUAUAUAUAUAUAACUAAAGUAAUUGUAAAACAUUUAUACUGUGUAGAAUUAGACGUGGACUGGUCGUGGAUAAAGCCUGUUCUAUAUUUUAUAAUCGAAUUAUUUAGCAAUAAACUGAUAUAAUGACA